rnacentral:rRNA from 1 species
AUUGAACGCUGGCGGCAGGCCUAACACAUGCAAGUCGAACGAGUGGCGGACGGGUGAGUAAUGUCUGGGAAACUGCCUGACGGAGGGGGAUAACUACUGGAAACGGUAGCUAAUACCGCAUACCAUCGGAUGUGCCCAGAUGGGAUUGGCUAGUAGGUGGGGUAAAGGCUCACCUGGGCGACGAUCCCUAGCUGGUCUGAGAGGAUGACCAGCCACACUGGAACUGAGACACGGUACGAACUCCUACGGGAGGCAGAAUUAGGGAAUAUUGCACAGUGGGCGCAAGCCUGAUGCAUCCAUGCCGCGUGUGUGAAGAAGGCCUUCGGGUUGUAAAGUACUUUCAGCGGGGAGGCGUUACCCGCAGAAGAAGCACCGGCUAACUCCGUGCCAGCAGCCGCGGUAAUUC